rnacentral:rRNA from 1 species
CCUACGGGAGGCAGCAGUGAGGAAUAUUGGUCAAUGGACGAGAGUCUGAACCAGCCAAGUAGCGUGAAGGAUGACUGCCCUAUGGGUUGUAAACUUCUUUUAUAUGGGAAUAAAACAGGGUAUGCAUACCCUCUUGUAUGUACCAUAUGAAUAAGGAUCGGCUAACUCCUUGCCAGCAGCCGCGGUAAUACGGAGGAGCCGAGCGUUAUCCGGAUUUAUUGGGUUUAAAGGGAGCGUAGGUGGAUUGUUAAGUCAGUUGUGAAAGUUUGGGGCUCAACCGUAAAAUUGCAGUUGAAACUGGCAGUCUUGAGUACAGUAGAGGUGGGCGGAAUGCGUGGUGUAGCGGUGAAAUGCUUAGAUAUCACGAAGAACUCCGAUUGCGAAGGCAGCUCACUGGACUGCAACUGACACUGAUGCUCGAAAGUGUGGGUAGCAAACAGGAUUAGAUACCCCUGUAGUC